CCCUACAGCGCGAGUAAAACGCGUGAAUACACCUUCACAAUCAAAUUCACGCGAAACGACACAUAAAAUAUCGCACUUUUUGCUAAAUUACCGUUUUGCCAACACCAACCUCUCCUCGAUCAACGUGCAAUCUCCGCAGAUCCGUCCGUCAAAUUUACAAACGGAUCACACCAGUGCGAUCAGCACGACGGAGACAACAAAGCUACAAAUUUGGUUCCCUCUAUCGACCACGGAUUCGCGACGAAAUCUGUUCUCUCCGAAAGGCCAAAUGACGCACAAAUACAUAUAAACAUGUAUUUUCAGAUUUUCUCAAAAUCCGUGCGUCAAACUCAAAAUCCGUCAACGCCAAUAGUUCCAAAAUAGCUGAACC
rnacentral:lncRNA from 1 species